UGCCAGCCGCCGCGGUAAUACGGAGUGUGCAAGCGUUGUUCGGAAUCACUGGGCGUAAAGCGCGCGUAGGCGGCAAGGUAAGUCAGAUGUGAAAUCCCUCGGCUCAACCGAGGAACUGCAUUUAAAACUGCAAAACUUGAGAUCGGAAGAGGAAAGCGGAAUUUCUAGUGUAGAGGUGAAAUUCGUAGAUAUUAGAAGGAACAUCAGAGGCGAAGGCGGCUUUCUGGUCCGAUACUGACGCUGAGGUACGAAAGCGUGGGGAGCAAACAGGAUUAGAUA
rnacentral:rRNA from 1 species